rnacentral:rRNA from 1 species
CCUACGGGAGGCAGCAGUGGGGAAUAUUGGGCAAUGGGCGCAAGCCUGACCCAGCAACGCCGCGUGAAGGAAGAAGGCUUUCGGGUUGUAAACUUCUUUUAUCAGGGACGAAGCAAGUGACGGUACCUGAUGAAUAAGCCACGGUUAACUACGUGCCAGCAGCCGUGGUAAUACGUAGGUGGCAAGCGUUCUCCGGAUUUAAUGGGUGUAAAGGUCGGGUAGGCGGGAGUGCAAGUCAGAUGUGAAAACUAUGGGCUUAACCGAUAGACUGCAUUUGAAACUGGACUUCUUGAGUUCUGGAGAGGCAAUCGGAAUUCGGGGUGUAGCGGUGAAAUGCGUAGAUAUACGGAGGAACACCAGUGGCGAAGGCGGAUUGCUGGACAGUAACUGACGCUGAGGCGCGAAAGCGUGGGGAGCAAACAGGAGUAGAUACCCUAGUAGUC